rnacentral:rRNA from 1 species
UACGAAGGGGGCUAGCGUUGUUCGGAAUUACUGGGCGUAAAGGGCCAGUAGGCGGCCAACUAAGUCACACGUGAAAUCCCCAGGCUUAACCUGGGAACUGCGUGUGAUACUGGAUGGCUUGAAUUCGGGAGAGGGAUGCAGAAUUCCAGGUGUAGCGGUGGAAAUUCGAUAGAUAUUGGGAAGAACACCAGUGGCGAAGGCGCUCACUGGCCCGUAACUGACGCAUGAGGUGCGAAAGCGUGGGGAGCAAACAGG